rnacentral:lncRNA from 1 species
AGUGUCCCUUGCUCCACUGCCCUCUCUGGGGCGCUUCCCGCCGCGGUUUCUCUACCUCCAAUAGCUACGGGAAGGCGAUUAAGAGGUGCCGCGGAGACUUUAAGGGCUUGGUUAUGUAGGUUCAGGUACCUUUGCCACCUCGCAGGGAAUGGCGUGUCCCUGUCUUGGACUGAGGCACCAAAAAGAGUUGCACUCCACCUGCCACUUGUGCAGGAAGGAAUUCUGAGCUUCUGUCUUCCCAUGCAGGCCGGCGCCUCAGUCUGCAAGCGCAAAGUCCGAGCUCAGGGCGCAUACUGGAAAGCAGUUCUCUGCCCUGUCCUGAACUGGGACUUGGAAAUAGAAGCAAGACGAGAAGCGUGCAUGCACACGUGUGCAAUACAUACAUGCACAGGCACAAGCACCCCCAGUUCCAGCCUGUUCCAAAAGCACGGGGUCAGUUCCCACCUGCGUGGUGCACGCUGGGCUGCUGCGCUGGAACUAGGGGUGAUAGGCAGAAUGGCUCCCCCUGAAGUUUUUCAGCCUUCGUUCGGGCUCACGAGCAUCACGAGCAGGAAGUACGUGACACUUUAGUUCGAGGUCAUUCAAUCCUAUUGUGAAUGAGGAGUUCCGUUAGGGCAUCCAGGUAGGCGAGCCCAGUCCUGAGAAUCCUCUUUAUUUUAAAUGUUGGUAUUUUGUUAUUCAUGGAUUUUUUUUUUGCAUUAAUUUUAAUUUUAAAAAAUAAAAAUGUUAUUCAUCUUGAUCACUUAGUUUUUUGGUGCUCCCUUAAAUGUUGUGCCUGAAGUGAGUACCUGUUGAGCAUUUAGCAACACAGAAGUCACCUUGGGGAGUACAGUUUAAGUGGAGGACAAAAGCCUGAUUGGAAUGGUAAUAAAACCUACUUGUUAGGCUAUUUGUGGGGGUUAAAUAACAUAAUAUGUGUGAAAGAGCUUCUUGAACUAGCAAGGUUAUGCGUCAAGUCUUACGGAUUUUGUCUUAAAUGUAUUUUUCUUCCGAUUCUUGUCCAGUUUAUCGUUGUAUUAACUCCAGCACCUAACCCAGUUGGAUUUUCAUAUGCAGUUAUUAUGAAUUUGCAGAAAUUGGGUUUACAUGACCUUUACUGCUUUCCUUUGUUCCAGAUUCGUUCUGGGAGAUUGAGAGAUUAUAGUAUUGCAUUGUGACGUGGAAUGCAGACAGACCACUGUCACUUACUAGCUUUGUGCUCUUAAGAAAAUUGUGUGAAAUGGGAACGAAAACCUACCACAAAGGAUUGUUAUGAGGGUUAAAAGAUACUGCAUUUCUAUUCACCCAGUAAAUGCUAUAUGCCGACUCUCUGCCAGCCUGUGCUGUAGGUGCUGGAGACAGCAUUAAGAAAGAUGAAGGCCCUUCUCUCAUUGACUUACACAGGGGAAGAGAGGGAGCAGAAACAAUAAACAGUAUACAUACGCAACCUACCGGUCAGUGUACAUAAACAACAUAUUCACAGCACCUGGUAUGUAACAGAUGCUCAAUAAAUGAUU